ACUGCUCCUACAUGGUGUAACAUCAUGUAGAUGUAUAUAAUGAACAGACUAGGUCUAUACUGCUCCUACAUGGUGUAACAAUACAUCAUGUAUAUAAUGAACAGACUAGGUCUAUACUGCUCCUACAUGGUGUAACAAUACAUCAUGUAGAUGUAUAUAAUGAACAGACUAGGUCUAUACUGCUCCUACAUGGUGUAACAAUACAUCAUGUAUAUAAUGAACAGACUAGGUCUAUACUGCUCCUACAUGGUGUAACAAUACAUCAUGUAUAUAAUGAACAGACUAGGUCUAUACUGCUCCUACAUGGUGUAACAAUACAUCAUGUA